rnacentral:rRNA from 1 species
AUGAAAACUCAGGUCGAGAUGAUGAAACCGGCGACUUUGGACGCGGCUAUGGACUUAGCAAUCUCCUUUGAGCACCUCAAUACUGUCACCAGCACCGCAGCCACCCCGGACCGGCCCAGCCAUCCACUCCACCCCAUGGCCGCAUCUAGUCUGGCCUUACCAGACUCCUCCAACCCCACGCCCGCGCUCGUCUUCAAAAGACUCACGCCGGCCAAGAUAGAUGAACGACGCGCUAAGGGUCUCUGCUUCAAUUGUGAUGAGAAGUUCGCGUGGGGCCAUCACUGCAAACGGCCGUUCUGCAUUCAGUCCACUGACACCGAAGAGCGGUUUGAGGAUUUCCAGGAGGCACAAAUCUCGUUCUUGGCUGUCACCAGAAUUCCCACCAGCGACACAAUGCAGGUCACUAUUCGCAUCGGGGACCGUGACUUGGUCGCCUUGCUUGAUUCGGGCAGCACUCAUAACUUCAUCCACGAAGAGCUGGCCACCAUCGUCGGGCUACCUUUCUCCUCCAAUCGUCGCUUGGGAGUCACGGUCGCCAAUGGCGAUAAGGUGACAUGUCGGGGACUCCUUUAG